AACGAACGCUGGCGGCGUGCUUAACACAUGCAAGUCGAACGAUGAAGCCGGAGCUUGCUCCGGUGAAUUAGUGGCGAACGGGUGAGUAACACGUGAGCAAUCUGCCCUUGACUCUGGGAUAACUGCGGGAAACUGUAGCUAAUACCGGAUACGACACCUUGGGGCAUCCCAGGGUGUGGAAAGAAUUUCGGUCAAGGAUGAGCUCGCGGCCUAUCAGCUAGUUGGUGAGGUAAUGGCUCACCAAGGCGACGACGGGUAGCCGGCCUGAGAGGGUGACCGGCCACACUGGAACUGAGACACGGUCCAGACUCCUACGGGAGGCAGCAGUGGGGAAUGUUGCACAAUGGGCGAAAGCCUGAUGCAGCAACGCCGCGUGAGGGAUGAAGGCCUUCGGGUUGUAAACCUCUUUUAGCAGGGAAGAAGCGAAAGUGACGGUACCUGCAGAAAAAGCACCGGCUAACUACGUGCCAGCAGCCGCCGUAA
rnacentral:rRNA from 1 species